UACGAAGGGGGCUAGCGUUGCUCGGAAUUACUGGGCGUAAAGGGCGCGUAGGCGGAUAUUUAAGUCGGGGGUGAAAGCCCAGGGCUCAACCCUGGAAUUGCCUUCGAUACUGGAUAUCUUGAGUUCGGGAGAGGUGAGUGGAAUGCCGAGUGUAGAGGUGAAAUUCGUAGAUAUUCGCAAGAACACCAGUGGCGAAGGCGGCUCACUGGCCCGGUACUGACGCUGAGGUGCGAAAGCGUGGGGAGCAAACAGG
rnacentral:rRNA from 1 species